AGGAUUUAUUUAAAAUAUUUAAAUUAUUUAUAGUUAUUGUAGUUAAUGGUAGGAUAAAAAAUAAAGAGUUUUAUAUAGAUGUUAUAAAUUCUUAUAAAUAUAUUUUUAAAAAUAUUUUCUUUUAAUAAUAUAAAUUUUCAAUCGCAUCUAUAAUAUAUUCUUAUCAAAAAUCAUCAUAACAAUAUAUUUAGAAUAUAUAUAUUUAGAGUAUAUUGUUAAACUAAAGUACACAAAAUAAUCUCUAACAAUAUAUUUAGAAUAAAUUAUUAAACUGUAUGCAAAAUAACUUCGUUAUAAUAUAGUCAAAAUUAUUAGAAGUUUUAGUCAAGGAGAAUCUAUGAUGUAUAAGUUGUGUAGAUAAAUAUUUCCGAAAGGUCAACAUAUUCAUUUGAAAAAUCACAUUUCAAUCAAAGAAAAAAUGAUAGAGUGAAAUCUUUGGUCAAAAAAUAAAUGAUAGUGUAAAAUGUUGCAAAGUUGGUGGCACCAAGGAACAAUAUAGUUUUGGUAUUUAAAUUUACCAGUCACGUUUUGGUUAUGGAUUCAUGAGACAUGUUUUUAUAAGAUGAUAUUUUAGUAUAAUAAAGUUAUGUAUAAUUUUUUGGUGUAUCAUAGUAAGUUGAGUAAUAAAUAAGAGCAUUGAUUAUUUUAUAGUUAGAGAAAUAUAAGGUAAUUGAUUAUUGCAUAGUUAAAGAAAUAUAAGGUGAGACUAAAAAAAUAAUUAAGUCUAAUGAAAUGUUCCAAACAACUUGUAUAAGUAGAUUUAUGUAGACUCCUUCCCUUUUAAUAGAAUAGAUAAUAUCACUUAUUAUAAAUUAUGCUAAUUUAUAUUUAUUUGUCUUAUUUAUAAAUAAGUGAUUUGAAAUAGAAUCACUUAAUUAUGUGAUACAAUUUAAGUGAUUCAAUUUACUUAUUUAUUUGUAGUGAAUUAUUUUCCACUUGAUUAACACAACAAAAUCUGAAAUAAGAGUACAUAUUUUUUUCACUCAAAAUAUAUCGUGAUAUCAAAUUACACUCCUAAUGUAUCUAAAUAAAUAAUAUAAAUUAUUGAUUCCAGACAUAGAUAUCCUAAUAAAAUGUUUUCAAUGCAAACAUUUAUUAAUUUUCUGUCAUGAUAUCUACGAAUAACACUUUGAAAUCUCUUACAAAGUGAUUGAAUGUAAGCCCAUGCUCUAUUUUUUGCAUAUUUGAUUACUAGAAAGCUUCCACAAUAUGGUAUUUACGAUCAAAGCUUGAAUUUCCAGAAUAUAGCUUAGUCUUCAAUUCAAGUAUAUUGUGUGAAACAUAGAGUCUCUGUAGAUUUGAUCCCUAAGUAUUACAUCGCACCUGAAAUUAAAGAGUUGAUCACUGGUAAAUUUGAGCAUAUCAAAUUUUGGUGUUGUUUUUGUGGACUCUAAUCACCAUUAGUCUAGGUGUUUUUGACUGUAUUUUUCUUUUUAGUUUACUUACUUUUUUUUGUGUGUUUCAAGUGCAUGCAUCGCAAUACUAGAAGCAACAAGGAAAAAGAGCUUUUGGCCUUGUUCAACCAGGAACUGUCGGAGUUGGAACGUACGAACCACACAUACAAGAAAAGAGUAUCGAGUGACACCCCUCAAGCAUCAAACAAUACCAUUUGUGCAGAAGCAUCAAUCAACACUACUCAGGAAUUGAUCGACACGCUACUUGAACGAGAAGAGAUGGUUAAUACGAUUGUGUUAAUGGCUGAUGCAGAUGGAGUCCUACGAGACCAUUAUGGUCUUGCGCAUAAUGUGGCUAGGCAUAGGAUUGAUGAUGCUAGGAAUGUGAUGCAUGCUGAUAUUUUUGUAGCUGAGAAUGCUAAGAAUGUUGGAAUUUUUUUAUAAGAGAACAUGGUGAGAUUAAAAUAGGCCCUAACAGUUCUAUUUGAAUAGGUUUGUGAUUCGCCCCUCCUACAUUCUGGACGAACAACUUUGAGCUGAAACCGCUUAUUACACGCUUGUGGGACAACAUCUCUUUUGUAGUCUUCCCAUGAGAAUCCCAUUGACUAUCUUAAGAAGUUAUAAGACUUGGUAUCUUGCAUCAAGUGAAAUGGUGUCUUUGAAGACUACAUUUUCUGCAAACUCUUCCAGUACUCUCUAUCUGGGUAUCCAGCUUACUAGCUCAAGCAGUGCAGCCAUGAUCCUUGACCAAAUAGAAGGACACUAAGAUCACGUUUAUAAAAAAAUGUUUAAUGAUGCAAGGUCUGAGAUAUAAGGAAUAAGAUCUCCAUGUUUUCUCAGGGGCAUACUUAAGCAUUCAAGACUUCUUGGAUCAGAUUCAGAUCUUACAAAGGGGACUCUCCACACCAUGUACUACUUAUAGGUAUCUUCAUUAGAGGCAUUAAUUGGAGGUAUCUAUGGCUCUGGAUGAUGCGGGUGAAAGAAACUUUGAAACUAGAAGCCCAGAAGAAGCAAUAAGGCUGAUCGAGAACUUGAUGUAUAGCCAUAGCACCAAGAAUGCAAAUCUGGAUAAGAUGAAGUUAGCUGAAGCGGAUGGUACUCAGAUCGAUGAGGUGAAAGAGAAACUGGAAAAUUUUCAUAAUCUCCUUGUGGCAAGAAGGAAGUUUAUUUUGCUACAGAAUUUGAGACCUUUGAACUCUGUGACGAGAUUACUAAAGAGGAUGUGAACUUCGUUACUGGAACUGGUUUUCAGGUUCAUAGGUUUGGUAAUCAACAAGGGAAUAUCAACUUCACUGAAAAUGAUCAGAGAGGUGGCUUCACAAGUAAUCAGAAAGCUUCUAAUUACACCCAUAACUCUCAGUACCAGAAGCCCUCUCAGGUAAACAUCAGCUUCACAAGGAACUAUGGAUCAUCUAAUUACCAAAAUCCUUUUACAAGUAACUCAGAAAAGCAAGAUAGAAGGCAUGCUGAAAAAAAUCAUGGACAAUCAGCAGCAACAAAGCGUGGGAAGUUAGACACCACCCAAGAAUUUUGUUAAUGCUAUUAUGUUGGGAAGUGAAGAACAACACGAAAAUUUGGAGAAAAAACUGGAGAAAGAAGCUGGUUGCGUCAGCCCGACUGCAAUGUCGAUCGACACCAAUCAUCAUUGUCGGUCGACACCCUCUCAUGCCCGCAAAUAUUUGAGUUUUUUCAUAACAAAAUUGAUCAAGAAAUGCUUACUCGACCCUGAAGGGUUAACACUAAAGAAAACUAUCGAUCAAAACUUAUCUGGAAUGAACACGGAGGCUUUAACAAAGGUUUGUGACGAUCGACACCCAUCUAAUGUCGAUCAACACCCAUCUAGUGUCGAUUGACACCCAGAGAUAGAGUAGGCAUCGGUUAUUGUGACCGAUCUGAAUCCUAUUGCGCUAAGGGUUAAGUCCAUGGUGUAGUACAUACCCAUAUAUUUUAGAUGGUCUAUCAACGCAGAAGAAUUUGUUGGUUUUCACAAGCGAGUGAAGAGAGUUCUUGAAGGUCUCUUUUGAAGAUGCUUAGUACUAAUAUCAGUUUAGUGGGUUCUUCAAGAAUACCAGAGAAGCCAUGGAAGAGAUUGAACUUUUGUUCAAUGAGAUUGUAAGUGCACCUAAAAAGGUCAAUAAAUUGAAAAAGCUGGAAGAUCCUGAGAAGUUUGCAAUUCCCUGCACUAUCUCAUGGAAUGAAUCCCUAGAUGCCUUAUGUAAUAUAAGAGAUGCACUUAGCAACACGCCUAAGGUUAUAGCUGAGAAACUUGGAGUUACCACAAAACCUUCUCAAAAUGGGUUGGCUUUUCCAUACCACUUUAGAGGAACUUCAUGUGGCUUAAUCAAAGAUUGAUGAGUAUGUCUCCUAUAAUCAUGUCCCACCAAACAGAAGUACACAAGUAUUUUCUUACACUGGGAUAGCUGAUGAUCGUCAACAUGCAUUUGUCUCUUAUGUAAACUGAAGUGAGGCAGAAUCACAUAAGUCUGGGAGAAAAAACAAGAAGAUAGUGAAGAGCAAAAGGAUCAUGGGCGAUCCUCGGUUGGCACUGGUUGUUAAGAGCUUCUCAGAUUGUGUCAUGGAGUACAAAAUGCACAUUAAAGGAUUCUUACAGCUAUUCAUGAAAGAUAGAGCAGCUUUCACAUCAUUGUUGAAAGACAAAGAAGAGGAUUAUGUGAAAAGUUUCAUGGGAAGUGUGUUGUAGAGUAAGGUAUUGGACGUUGGAAAUUUUUUUAAAGAAAGUUACCGACCUCAUAUUGACUAAGUCUGGUCUCCAAAGUCGAGCUAAUGAGUAUAAACAUUCGUUUGGUGGGAAGCAAUUCACUGGUAAGUUUACUGUUUACUUAAAAAAAAGUAAGUGUCGUAGAGAAUAUUUCACUCCUUAGGGUAAUUUGAGUGGUAUCAAAUUUGGCGCCAUUGCCGGAGAGCUUUGAUCGCCAUUAGAUUUAGUAUUAUUAAUUCUUUUCUUUUUCUACCCCCAUUCUGACACAAAAAUUUUUUCUUGUCUUUUCAGGUACAUGCCCAUCAGUACAAGAAGCAACAAGGAAAAACAUCUGUUAUUCUCAGAAGAUCCUUCUCACUUGGAACGCACGAUCCACAAAGAUCAAUGUUCCACAUCGAUCGACGCAGCAGCUUUCAUGUCCACCAAUUCUUGCACCCACCCAUCGACCGAUACCCGACCUUCAUCGUCGAACGAACUACCUCGUUCGACAUCGAUCGAUCCUACACCGCGUACAUCAAUCGAUCCUCAGUCGCGAAACAUGGUUGCGAUUGUUAAUCUCAGACAGGAUGAUAAUGGAGACCUGUAUGACCAGGAUGGUCAUCUGCGUAAUGCAACAGGUCAGAAACUAAACGCUCAGUGGAAUGUAAUCCCUGAUGCUGAUGCUACAGGAGCUGCUCAACCUGUAGAAGAGGCUGCUCAACCAAAGGCACUGGCUGACUACAAUCAUCCAGACGAGUACUACACCAACAGAUCAGCUAUUAGACUUCCAGAGAUUCAGAAGGAGAAUUUCGAGCUGAAGCCUCAGUAGUACACACUCGUGUUGCAGCUACCGUACUCUGGGUUACCGCACGAGCAUCCUAUAGACCAUCUGGAGAGGUUCGAGGAACUUAUCGUUGCUAUUCCUAUGGAUGGAGUCCUUGAGGACUACCUAUUGUGCAAGCUCUUCAAGUAUACUUUGACAGGAGAAACGAUGCACUGACUUAAGCAGCUAACCACAAGAUCUCUAACAUCAUGGACCGACAUCAAGAAUGCUUUCUUGCGAAACUUCUUUGAUGAGGCAUGCACUGAAGACUUGAGGAGCAAAAUUGCUACAUUCGCGAAGGAGAUUGGAGAGUCUUUUAAUGAUGCGUGGAUCAGAUUCAAGUUCUUCCAUCGAGACUGUCCACACCACGGAUUCAAUGAAGUGCAACUGCUGAGCACUUUCUUCAGAGGUAUCACCUUGAGGUGUCAGAUGGCUCUUGAUAGAGCUAGCGAGGGAAACUUCAACACCAGGAAUCCGGUCAAGGCUAUGAGACUGAUAGAAAAUCUUGCAAACAGCAGCAACACCAAGAACACUGACUUUGAGAGAAUUAGCUGUAUACAUGGAAGGAGAAGAAGAUGUGAACUACAUUGGAGGUAUUGGAUUUUAGAGGUCUGGAAACCAGGGAGGAAACAAAAACUACUUUGGCAAUGGUCAGAGGAGUAACCAGAGUUCACAGUUCCAGAAACCUUUCAGCAACAACAGCUGAGGCUAUGGAAACUCAUACUACCAAAAUCCACCACCACAGACUCAGGAAAGUAAGAUUGAAGCAAUGCUUGAAAGAGUUCUGGAAGGACAGCAACAACUUACUGUGGAUUUCAAUGGAAAGAUACAUUCUGCCUACAACAGUCUGAACACAAGAUUGAGACCUUAGAGCAUCUCCAAUGUAAAACUCCAUUUUUUUCUUCAAAAUGGAGUAAAAGUGAAAAUUGAGUAAAAUUGCUCCAAUCAUACUCCAUUUUCCACUCUAGAAUGGAGUGAUGAACAAACAAAGAAUAGAUUACUCCAUUUAUGGAGUAAACUUCAUUAUGGAGUGAGAUAUGAAGUUGGGUUAGAGCAUUCCUUACUCCAUAUUCACUUUUACUCCAUUUUAAAAGAAAAAAUGGAGUAUGGAUGGAGAUUCCCUUAGGGACUCAAGCGAGGAAGCUUGAAAUGCAAGUGGCUCAGACUAGAGACACUGUAAAGAGGCAAGAAGCCUUGGCUAGAGAGGUAGGAGUUGAGAAAGCAAAACACCACGUGAAUGCCAUCCUAGAUGAUGAGUUUUGGCAAGUGGUGAAGCAUGAGUAGCUUGGAGAAGGAAACUUCGAAGUUGAAAGCUCCAUGAGCUUCGGCGGAUCAUACUGGUAUCGACCGAUGUCAAUGGAUGCACAUCGAUCGACAGACUAGGAAGAAGAUCGAUCGACAGAUUAUUCUGGACAUCGAUCGACGUCAUCUGCUGAAUCGACUGCGGAGUGUAGUGCAAUUCGAAUCAUGACUCAUGAGGAAUUCGCGGAGAAACACCCUCACCCACCCUCCCCUUUCUACGUCAAAAUGGAUCGACCGCAUGAGCCAGCCAUCAAUAGACAGAGAGAGACCGACAUCGAUCGACUCCCCUCACCUUCCAUCGAUCGGCAGGCACCUCUCACCUACCGAGUGCGAUUGACAUCAAUUGAUAGUAACCGAAUCAACACACUCAAACCACCACCUAAACCUUUAGCAAACCCACCAGAACCUACACCCAACCCUUCAGAUAUUACACCGAGCCUAUACAAGUUGAUGAGGCAACUGAGGGAAGAGUGUUAAGGAAAAGGAAGGAGGAGAUUCCUAAACACCUUAAGAGGGAAGCUACUGAGAAGUAGAUGGAUGGUUUCACUAAGAGAGUCCUCAGAAUCCUAGUGGAGAAACAAUUUGAUGAAGUUUACUACACACAUCGGUUGUGGAUGUUCUUCAGAGAAACCAAGGAGACUGAGGAGGACAUUAGGAGAAUGUUUCAUUACAUCAGGGAAAUGAUGAAACUAAGGAUCACAUUGAAAAAGAAGAGUGAUCCUCGGAAGUUUGCAAUACCAUAUCUGGUAAAAGGUAUUGAAUUUCCCCAUGCACUUUGUGACACAGGAGCAUCAGUCAGUAUUCUACCUAAGGUUAUGGCAGACCAGCUGGGUCUGAAAAUAGAUCGCUCAUCAUAAUCUUUCACCUUCGUGGAUCUUUCAGAAAGGAGCUCAGGAGGCAUCAAAGGAGACCUUAAGGUACAGAUUGGCAAUACCCUUGUCCUAGUAGAUAUUCAUGUCCUGGACAUCAAGCUUAACUGGAACUCUUCACUUCUCCUUGAAAGAGCUUUCUUGGCUACAGUAGAAGCUGUAUGUGACAUGAACACCAACAGAUUAUGUUUGACACUGACGUAGUUCGAGUUGUGAGACAACAUGUCAACCCCGUGGAGCUUGGGAAUGAUCUUGGCUACAUUGCAGCAUGCCAUUGUGGAGCAGAGUACGAAACCGAGUACUCGAAAUCGAUCGACACACAUACUAUCACAUCGAUCGAUUCAAAUGAGUCACCGACGACCAAUGAAUGCUAUCCCACGUCGCUCAACGGGAUGCAAUCGGUAGACCACUACACAUUACUAUAUCAUUACUAUCCAGACUUUGCCUAUCAAAAACCCAACAAGAACGGACGAGAUGACUAUUCCAUAGGCAGUUCGGCAGAUAUUGGAUUCCAUGAAGGUUUUGCAGUGGAGACUGUGAUUCUUUCAUCCAAUGAGGAUCCUACUGAGGAGUAUGAUGAGGAUUACUGGAAGGAAAGAGCUACAGAGAUUGCUAUGCAGGAUGAAAGAUAUUCAACCCAUUCAUUCAACAACACGCCUACACCAUCGAUCGACAGAGUCUACUGAGCAUCGGUCGAUUCCCACCCUCAUCUGGCAAAACGAUCUUCUGCAUCGACCGAUACCACACCUGGUACAUCGAUCGAUAUUAAAGCUGCCGCCUUAGAAAAGGAAAAAGAAAAUAUUUCAAUUCCAAGUAGGUAUACCAAUACCUAUAUAAGGAGAUUUGCACCCCAGAUUACUUCUCACGAAACAGAAGUAGAAAAGAUGAAUGCUCCUACAAAUCAUUCAGAAGGAACAUCCAGGAAGAGCAUUCGAUCAAAAAACCUUAAUUCAGCAGACAAACGUCUACCAUCGAUCGAUACAUCAGUAUCAACAUCGAUCGAUUCUCAUUCUAAACCAAAACUUUCUUUAUCUACUAAGAAAAAUAUGAGUAUUGAUUACGAUUUUCUAUUGCCUGAUGAAUUUGGAAUUUUCAGAGACCAAGAUGGCCAUGCAUGAGCUAUGGAUGGAAGGAUUCUACAGGUAUUCAUAGAGGACAUAGCAGAUAUUCCUGAGUUGGCCAAUGGAGCAGACAACCUGUUUAUGCAGCAACACAGCAUUCCAGACAACAAUCCAGCUGUUCCAGACGAAUAUCCAAGGGCCACAACAACAUGAAUUGGUUCACACCAAACGUGCAGACCUGUUGGCCAAACAUCGAUCGACAAGGUUGCUUCUACAUCUUUCGACAGGGUAACACAACGUCGAUCGAUAAGAAACCUUAAACAUCGAUCGAUUGACGUUAUGAAUGUGGACAUCGCGCUUAUGACAGCUAUUGAGCCAGAAAGUUCAGAUGGAAACAGAAGGACGAAUAUGUAGUCUACAGAGACGAGUUUGGACAUGCAAGAAACGCAGCUGGUGAGAUGAUUCCUGUUACCAAGGACAACAUCAAGAAAAUUCUGGAGAGAGCAUCCCUAUUUGGAGAGAGAGAGUCACAUAUGCCUUCCAGAACAUGCCACUUCCUUCACACCUACAAGACUGGCACCAGAGAUCUACACCAAGGAUGAGAUCAAUGAGAUGGUGACUAGUAUUUGUGGAGCUCAGGAAAAGCUAGGAGAUAAACUCAAGACAUUGGUAGAUGAAACUUAUCAGCCUUUGGACAGAGGUUACAAUGAGUUUUUCAGAAGUAUGGCAGAGAUGAGGACAUAGAUUGAGAGUAUGCAGCACAACCUUGAGAAGGAAGCUACAACAUCAACAUCGAUUGACGCCAACAAAGCACCAUCGAUCGACGUCAAGCCACACACAUCCCAGUUUCCUGCAGAACCGGAAGGUUUGGAAGAGAAGAAGGAUGAAUGGGAAAUCGCAUACAUCAACAUGAGGAUUAACAACGUUUAAAACCCUCUCAACAACAACGAGGACUGGUUGAGCACGAGAAUUGAUCUGCUAAAGCAAGAGAUGGAUACCAUUCGCAUGAAUGAUCCACAACCAGCCAUAUUGAUCGAUAUCUCCAACAUCGCAUCGAUCGACACAAGGUUCGCAGCCAUGGAUGAUAGGUUAAAAUCUUAUGAGGAUAUGCACGACCGUUUCACCUCACUUAUCAUACGAUACUUGGACACCUUGUCUACACAUAAGAUUAAUGUCAAAAGGGACAUUGGUAAGCUUAAUGAUCAACAUGAUUUUCAGGAAGAAAGCUCAACAUCGAUCGAUAGUUCCACAGGACAUCGCUCGACGGCAAAAAACCUACAGAACAUCUUUUCUACACAACAGACGCAGUUGAUCAGAUCACAUCACAACUUUACAAAGCUAUAGACACCUUGGAGGACCGACUUGAGAAGCGAUGUGAUGACAUCUACUUUCCAAUUGAUGUCAAACUCAGUGGACUAGACAGCCAAGCAGAGUGGCUACAGAAGAAAGUCAAAGCCAUUCAGAGAUAACUCGCAUCUCAGCACCAGAUAUCAGCAUCGACCGACAGAGAACACUCCAAAUCGAUCGACAACACUACACCAGCAACGAUCAAUAGACACUUGGUCACAUCGAUCGAUACCAUAUCUACACCAGACGACGCACAACUGAUACCAAACCACAUGGAGUCAAUGCAUGAGAACCUGAACGAGCUAUCAGAAUACACCUACAUCAAGAUAGGAUGGUGUCAGUUCAGCAUUAAAGACAUCCUAGAAAGGCUAAAGAACAUCUCAAAUGCAGUACAAAAGAUGGAUGAGAGAUGGACCAGAAAUGAUGAGGCCAUAAGAAGUUUCAUUGCAGCUUGGUCCAGAAUGUGCAGAGAUGAUGUGGAUGCUUGUUUCCCAACAAGUAGCUGUUUUUCCACCAAGAAGUCAUAUACCUCCUAAGUCAAUCUAAAUGACUAUAACAAAGCGUUGAGUGGGAGGCAACCCACUAUUAGGUAAUUUUAAUUGAUUUUCUUAGUUAUUAGUAUUUAUUUUUGUUUUUAUUCUUUCAGAUUUAUUGCAAAACCCAAGUAGAAUGAUUACCAACAUAUCGACCGUGGACGAGACGUCGACAUCGAUCGACAUUCACUCACACACGACGAUCGAUGCAUACCUAUGCACAUCGAUCGAUUCUCAUUCCGGUCAGGUUUAUCUUCCUAAUUUGUUACAUUUGUACUUAUGAUUUAUUUCCACCAUAACUCCGACUGUGUUACACUAGGACAAUAUAAUUUAAGUCUGGGGGUAGGUUCACUGAUAUGAUUUAUUCUGAUUCUUAUAGAAAGAUUUUAAUAAAUUAUGCUUAGCUAUAUGAAAGGGACUAUGAAUUUAUUACUUGAAUGUCUAACCACUCUUUAGCACCAUUCUAGAUUUACUAAUUGUAGAUAGUACUAAGAUGCUAAAGUGGAUCAACUUGUCAACUAUACACACUUGCCUGGAUUGUUUGAAGGAACCAAAGCUGACCUCCAAUAUUAAACCUGAUAUAACCUCUUGUCUUGAAACUUGGUAUACAUGGGAUCAGAUUCUUCAGAAAAGUCUGGAAGGUAAAGCCUUAUGUAGAUUUAUUUAUCACAAUUUUCUCUCUCUAUUUCGAUCCUAGAGUAGUUAGUUAGUUUAUUUAAAAAAAAAAUCCAAAAUUUAUUGCUUUAUUAGGACUUAGGAUUUAGUUAGGAGGAAUCUGAACAUGACUUAGUGGCUACAACCAUUAAAGCUUGCUUCAUAAAUAUUCCAAAUAAAGAAUUCGAACGGGAUUUGGAGGCGGCAAUCCACAAGGCUCGCUUCACAAAGAAUUCUUGGAUAUAGGUAAAAAAAGAAGUGAACAAGACUUGGUGGCAAACACCAUUAAGUCUUGAUUCAUGGAAGCAUGUCCAAUCUUGGUUACUGAUCCUGCAAUGGAAGCAGACUUUGACUCAAGAGAGAAAUUAGAGAGAGAGAAAUUAGGAACUAACUUUUACCUCUAGUUCCAGAUACUUGUCUGAAAACCCUUGCAUCAUGUGAUCGACACUCCCAAAGUAAAGCAUGCACAUUUAUAUUUAUGCUAAGAAAUAAGGUUAGUAUAGGGGAAUGUCAGACAAGAUUUGCUGAGUUGUAGACUAGUUGAAUUUGGUUGCUAAGCUAGGAUAUUGCAUAAUGUGCUUUUGUAAUUAGGACUUUAGAUGUGGUUUGCGAAAUUGUGGAGGUGAUGAUUUAUGUUUUAUAUCUAUAAGUCACUGCUGUUUUCAAACCUCUUUCAGAGAGACUGCCUGUUUGUUUUGCUUGAGGACAAGCAAAAGGGUAAGUCUGGGAGAGUUGAUAUACCAUGGAUUUGACCCAUUUUUACCCAUGGUAUAUAAGUAUUUUACUAUCUACAUACUAUAUACUCUAUCCUAUUAGGUAUGUUUUGAGGUUCAGAAGUAUCUUGGAGUGAAGUGAUGAUUAUGGAGCAUUUAGGGGCUUAAAAGAGAUUUCAUCCGAGCUGACCAUCAGAGGUCGAUACGAAGAAGAAACAAUCAAUCGAUGCACAUCAAGUGUCGUCGAUCGAUGCAGAAGAGAAGCCUCGAUGAUUGAAGAUUAUGAUCGAUCGAUGUACAUCUUGUACCAUUGCUCGAUGUCGAGAUGCGGAAGCACGAUUUGGUUCCAGCCGACUUUAAACCCAAGACUUCACCAAAUUACAAAAUUACCCCUGAAAAUUUUUUAACCUAAUAGUUAUAUACAUGUCUAAGUGUUAGGAGGCAAGAGAGCUUUUGGCCACCUUUGUAUUCUUAUUUUCAGCAGAGAAGAUCAUAGAGAGAUUUGUGAUUGGAACUACAUUGAUUCAUCUAUUCUAUUCUUUGUAGUUUUAAGUUAUAUUUUGUGUCAUGAAUUGCUUAACUAUGUCUGAGUAGUUUACUUGUUAAAUUCAGGGUUCAAAUAGGUUAGAUGGAUUAGCCCCAACUAUAGAUUGCUAAGUUGUUGUAUUCAUUGAUUGAUUAUUCUUAAUGAUUUUUCUAGAUUAGCUAACUAGAAUAUUGAACCUAGGAAUCUGCAUGAGUCAAGCAUCCUUGACCAUCUAGUCCUGAACCUAAUCUGUCAUACUAGACUAUUGGAAAAAGCUACCGCUGAACUAGAAAGCUAGUGGGCAUUAUCAACGUACGCCUAUUAUCAACUUACGCCUAAGGCUUAACUAGAAGCAUCGAUCGAUAUUGUCUUCUGACAAUCGAAUGAUAUUUGUGAAAGGUGUAUCGAUCGAUAUCCCUAUAGGACCAUCAAUCGACACUUUUUGAGAUCAAUAAACGACAGUUGAGAUCCAAGAUCUAGUUAGUUAACCAGUGAAACAUUGCCAUCGCUGAUCACUGUGUUUAAGGGGUUGAGCUCUAAUAUAUAAUGCAUGCAACUGAUGGGCAUCUAUAGAAUUAUAAUCUCCAACACCUGAAUAGAAACCCAGCAUCUAAUACUUUUCCAAUAAGUUACACCCCCAAAUCAUCUUGUUAGUCGAGCAAUAGACUUGCUCAAUUAGGAUUGCUAUUUACUUUAAAACCAUAAAACAACAAACACUUAGAAUUAAUAAUUUACUAGAUUUAAUAGGUUCCUUAGAUCCUUAUGGAUUUGAUCCCUAAGUACUACAGUUGAACCUCUUAUUUGAAAGAGUAUUUCACUCUUUACGGUAAUUUGAGUGGUAUUAGAUACGUACCUACUUUUUUUUUGUUUUUCUCGAAUUUUCUUUGUUUCUUUGGUCAAACUUGGACUGUAUACCACUAGAGACAAUGUUGUUUAAGUUUAGGGGAGGUAGUCAAUGACAUUGUGUUCUAUUUUUAGUGUUAGUUGAGUCGGCAAGAGUUAAUUCUGUAGUUUUAUUGAAUCAAAAUACAGCCAUUUGUGGACUAUGAUUUUUUUCUUGGAACUAACCACAACCUUAUAUUUUGAGGAUAAAUAAUGUUUGCUAGAACUUGUUGAUCCAAAACUAGGGUCACAUAUUCCGAGAAAGAGGUUUUCAUUAUUUUUUUUAGGCCUGGGCAUUUUACCCGGACCCGAAGACCAGACCCGAAACCGAUCCGAAAAAACCCGGUUCGGAUAGGAACCGACCCGAUCAAAUUACCCUAUCGGGUCUUGUUGUAGAAGACCCGCGGGUCUUGAACCCGACCCGACCCGAACCCGAACAAUGGCCAACACUCUCUGCGCAAGGAACAUGUUCAAAACCCUUGAACCAGAAGACAACAAGCUUUUACCACAAGAUGUUUUCUGUGCGUUGAGGCCAGCUAUUUUGGUUCUUCUUGAAAGUGGUAUUAAAGUUGUUAUUGUAACACUUGGCUCCAAUGGAGCUCUCCUAUGCUCAAAGGGUAAUCCCAAUAAGGCUCUCAACAUAAACAGAAAGUUUAGUGGAGAGAUUUUCAGAAGGGUACAACUUAUAUGUUCACCGAACCGGUUUUCUGAACCGGGAUUGAAGCACGGCUCGAGUCUUUUUGCGAUGCAUUUCCCAACCGUACCAGCCAAAGUCAAGAAGCUUACUGGUGCAGGGGAUUGCCUAGUAGGCGGUACCGUUGCGUCGCUGAGCGAUGGUUUAGAUCUGUUCCAGAGUUUAGCGGUUGGCAUUGCUUCUGCUAAAGCUGCCGUCGAGUCAGAAGAUAAUGUGCCUCCUGAGUUCAACCUCAAUCUUCUUACUGGUAUGGACUAACAAUUCUUGUCUGAAUUAUGUUUUGGUUGGGUCUGAGCCGGUUUACACUUUUGCAUACAGAUGAUGCGGAGUUGGUUUACAGUGGCGCCAGGAUGUUGCUGGCUCAUCAGUCAAUGCUGUGAAGAAUGAUCUUGUUUGUUCUUUUUUUUAUUGUUUGUGUACUAUUCCAUCUAAUAGAUAAACUUAGACCAUUUGUUUAGUAGGACUGCACCAGGUAAUAACAGAGAAACCGCUCUGUUUCUCGUUAGUAUAUAUUAUUACUAAAAUCAGUUUAUGAGAGAUCAUUUUUUCAUGUCUUUGUAGUAACACUAACACGUUAAGUAAUUCUGUUCUCACAUCCAA